rnacentral:rRNA from 1 species
GACAGAGGAGCCAAGCGUUGUCCGGACUGACUGGGCGUAAAGCGCACGUAGGCGGCUUUCUAAGUCAGGGGUGAAAUCCUGGAGCUCAACUCCAGAACUGCCUUUGAUACUGGAGAGCUUGAGUCCGGAAGAGGUGAGUGGAACUCCGAGUGUAGAGGUGAAAUUCGUAGAUAUUCGGAAGAACACCAGUGGCGAAGGCGGCUCACUGGUCCGGUACUGACGCUGAUGUGCGAAAGCGUGGGGAGCAAACAGG